rnacentral:rRNA from 1 species
CCAGCCGCCGCGGUUACCCCACGUGACUCAAAUUGACCCUUUUCGGCGUAAAGCGUGAUUAAAGUCAUUCACAAUUAGAGUUAAACCCUAACUAAGCUGUGACACGCUUGUGCGUGGGAAAACCAAAAACGAAAGUUACUCCAAUUUAUUCAACUUGAACUCACGACAGCUGGGAAACAAACUGGGAUUAGAUACCCCACUAUGCCCAGCCGUAAACUUUUAAUUACAACCAUUUCGCCCGGGAACUACGAGCUAAGCUUAAAACCCAAAGGACUUGACGGUACCCCACAUCCACCUAGAGGAGCCUGUCCUAUAAUCGAUAACCCCCGUUUAACCUCACCAUCUUUAGCCUAUCAGCCUGUAUACCUCCGUCGUCAGCUUACCACGUGAGCGAUAUAAGUGAGCUUAAUGCCCAUACGCCAACACGUCAGGUCAAGGUGCAGCAAAUAAGAUGGGAAGAGAUGGGCUACACUUUCUAACUUAGAACAUACGAAAGACUACUUAUGAAACCCCUAGUCAGAAGGCGGAUUUAGAAGUAAAAAGAGAUCAGUAAAACUCUUUUUAACCCGGCACUGGGGUGUGUACACACCGCCCGUCACCCUCUUCAAGGCCUACAAGUAGUUCUUAACUAAACCCAUUGCCACAUAGAAGAGGCAAGUCGUAACAUGGUAAGUAUACCGGAAGGUAUGCUUGG